ACGGAGGAUGCAAGCGUUAUCCGGAUUUAUUGGGUUUAAAGGGAGCGCAGACGGGUCGUUAAGUCAGCUGUGAAAGUUUGGGGCUCAACCUUAAAAUUGCAGUUGAUACUGGCGUCCUUGAGUGCGGUUGAGGUGUGCGGAAUUCGUGGUGUAGCGGUGAAAUGCUUAGAUAUCACGAAGAACUCCGAUUGCGAAGGCAGCACACUAAGCCGUAACUGACGUUCAUGCUCGAAAGUGUGGGUAUCAAACAG
rnacentral:rRNA from 1 species